CCUGCCUACUGCUGCGCGUGCGACGCCGGGGGAUGCCCCAUGCAGGCGCAGAACGCGGACGAGAUCCUCCGCCGCAGCUUCUUGGGCCUCUCCUGGCGCUCGCCGCCGUCUGCCCUGGUGACGCCGACGCUGGCCGCAUCAGACGGGGACGCGGAGGCCACCACGUCUGGGCUCUCCACUAUGAUUCCUGCCGAUGAGGCGCCGGCGCCGGCGUGGCGCAUCAGCAGCGAGCGGGACACCACGCGGGGCGAGGGGUCCCCCGCGAGAAGGCUGGCGUCGGGGUGCAACGGCGCCGCCUUCGGCGUCGUCGUCGUCGUCGUCGUCGACGACGACAGCCCCUUGAGGUCCAGGCCCCGC
rnacentral:misc_RNA from 1 species